CGGAGGGUGCAAGCGUUAUCCGGAUUCACUGGGUUUAAAGGGUGCGUAGGUGGGUUGGUAAGUCAGUGGUGAAAUCUCCGAGCUUAACUUGGAAACUGCCAUUGAUACUAUUAAUCUUGAAUAUUGUGGAGGUCAGCGGAAUAUGUCAUGUAGCGGUGAAAUGCUUAGAGAUGACAUAGAACACCAAUUGCGAAGGCAGCUGGCUACACAUAUAUUGACACUGAGGCACGAAAGCGUGGGGAUCAAACAGGAUUAGAUACCCUGGUAGUCCACGCCCUAAACUAUGGAUACUCGACAUACGCGAUACACUGUGUGUGUCUGAGCGAAAGCAUUAAGUAUCCCACCUGGGAAGUACGAUCGCAAGAUUG
rnacentral:rRNA from 1 species